UAUGUAGUUAUUAGGGCUUAUCCAAAGAAGAACCAGGCGAGGGGGUUGCCUCUGAGAUGUGGGUUUGGGGGUGGGCAGAGGUGGAGGAAAGAUAGUUACCUCUUGCUAUUAAUUCUUUAGUUUUAGAGAAUUUGUUAUGGUUACAUCACUGGGCUAUUAUAAUUAUAGGAACAUGGUCUUUUUAAAGAAAGGCAUCUGAAAAGAAGGCAUUGGGCCAUGGAUGACGGUGCCACCUGAGAGUAGAGCAUGGUGGGUUCAGCAUGGAGUCUGCCCAGGGUUCUAAGCCCAGCUUUGCUAUUUCCUAGCUGUGUGACUCUGAGAAAGUUGCUUAACUUCUCUGUGCCUCAGUUCCUCCAACUGUGAGAUGAGAGUAAGGGCGUCCACCUUGCAGAGCUGUUGUGAGGGCUGGAUGAGUAAAUCCAAGGAAAGCAGUUACAGCAGUGCCUCGCACACAGCACUCUAUCCAUGGUGGCUGUCAUCAUCCCUACGAUGGAAUGGGACACAUCCACUUAAAUACAUCGGAGAAUGCCAGUGAGUUCAUCUUACGUAUAAAAAAGCGGGAUAGGACACUGCAGAUGCGAAUCUGAUCUCCAUCAUGUGUGUCCGUGUGCGUGUGCAGACAGCCUGCACACAGGAGCACAUCACGCAGGCUUUCUCAAGCUCGGCACCAGUGACACUCGGGCUGGGUGAUGCUCUCGUAUGGGAGCUGCCCUGUGCACUGUAGGGUGUUGAGCAGCAACCCUGCUGGACUCCAGUAGCCCCACUCCCCGUCGUGACCACCAAGAUGUCUCUGGACAUUACCAAACGUCCCUGCGGGAGGGCAAAGUCGCCCCCAGUUGAGAACCAUUUGGUUAAUAAGGACCAGAAGGAAAGACACCACGAUAGUAAGAGAGCAGAAUGAGAUGUCAGGAGGAGGAGAGGCUAGCUGGUGCUGAAGCCCCCAUCUUGUUCCAGGUACAGCCUCAGAAACUCCGGCAGCUUUGCCACCAGGUGCCAGCACCUCUAUACACAGGCCACAGCCUCCUUCCUGGAAGAUGCCAUGGGGUGCAGCAAUGAGAAAGCCGCCACGUACUGGGGGACCAUCACGGCCAGCACCAUCCUAGCUGCCUAGUAACCGACACAAACGAGGACCCCGGUUUUCGGGCCUUGUCGCUCCCCCACCCCCUGGCGCCCCUUGCCCGGAGUGGAGCACGGCCUGGGGCCCCUGCUCAACCACCUGUGGGCUGGGCGUGGCCACUCGGGUGUCCAACCAGAACCGCCUCUGCCGACUGGAGACCCAGCGCCGCCUGUGCCUGCCUGGGCCCUGUCCACCUGCCAGGGGCCGCGGCCCAUGGAACAGUGCCUUUUAGAGCAGGCCUGGGAAUCUGGAGGUUCCGUGCCCGCCCUCCCCAGCAGGCAAGCCAGUGCUUGGGCCCUGAGCAGAAGGCAGAUGGCCCCUCCCCGCCCCCUUGGCUGGGGCAACGACAUCCAGGCCCCGGAGGACAAGAAUGUUCACAAGUCAUCUGGUCCACCUGGACCCUGAGAUAGAGCCGGGAUGUCUGCCCCAGUCCCCCUUCCUCUACCUCACAGCCUAGGCUGGCCAAGGUUUCCAGAGUCUUCUGGUCCAUUCCCAGCCUCCACACAGCCUUUAUCAAACAUGUGCAUAGGCAAGCUUUCCAGCAGAUAGGGCAACCAGCUGUCCCUUAAUCAUUAGGCCGAGGCAGGUGCUGGGCUGGACUGGCUAUUUUUCCAGGGGUGUGGUGAAAAGGGGCACGCAGAUAUUCUGAAUCUCCUGCUUCCUUUCCUGGAGUGACAUAAAAACGUCCCCAAAUACAUGCCUGUGCAAGAGCUUGUAGGUCCGGCUUAUGCUGUCUGAGAAAGCCUGCCCCAUCCAGGGCAGAAUUCAGAGGCUGUGUGCUUUGUGAAAAUCACAAGGUGAAAUCACACUGUCUUGAAGAAAGUCAGAAAACAGGCCUGAGAGUGAUCCCUUAAACCCAACUUGUAUUAUUAAGAAUGAACCUUUCUCAGGCACCUGCAAUGUGCCAGGCGCUGAGCUAGACUCUUUAUAUAUAGGUUGGUGCUUUGCAACAUUUAAGACCAGAGAAAAGUAGGGGAGAAUGAAGGAUAGCCCCUGGGGACUGGGGAACAUGGCCUGAAAUAAAUCAACCCAAGCGUGAAAUUC